UGGAUAGCUCAGUUGAUUAGGGCGUGGUGCUGAUAAUGCCAAGAUUGCAGGUUCAAUCCUCGGAUGGGACAG